rnacentral:rRNA from 1 species
UACGUAGGUGGCAAGCGUUGUCCGGAUUUACUGGGCGUAAAGAGCGCGCAGGCGGUUGUGCAAGUCGCGUGUGAAAGCCCCCGGCUCAACUGGGGAGGGUCACGCGAUACUGUUCGACUCGAAGGCAGGAGAGGGAAGUGGAAUUCCCGGUGUAGUGGUGAAAUGCGUAGAUAUCGGGAGGAACACCAGUGGCGAAGGCGACUUCCUGGCCUGUUCUUGACGCUGAGGCGCGAAAGCUAGGGGAGCAAACGGG